AGAACGAACGCUGGCGGCAUGCCUAACACAUGCAAGUCGAACGAGAUCCUUCGGGGUCUAGUGGCGCACGGGUGCGUAACGCGUGGGAAUCUGCCCUUAGGUACGGAAUAACUCAGGGAAACUUGUGCUAAUACCGUAUGAUGUCUUCGGACCAAAGAUUUAUCGCCUAGGGAUGAGCCCGCGUAGGAUUAGCUAGUUGGUGGGGUAAAGGCCUACCAAGGCUACGAUCCUUAGCUGGUCUGAGAGGAUGAUCAGCCACACUGGGACUGAGACACGGCCCAGACUCCUACGGGAGGCAGCAGUGGGGAAUAUUGGACAAUGGGCGAAAGCCUGAUCCAGCAAUGCCGCGUGAGUGAAGAAGGCCUUCGGGUUGUAAAGCUCUUUUACCGGGAAGAUAAUGACUGUACCGGAGAAUAAGCCCGGCUAACUCCGCGCCAGAGCCGC
rnacentral:rRNA from 1 species